ensembl:lncRNA
GCAAUAUUGGAGGCUGUUGCUAAGCAACCACCAGACCCAGGAAAGCUGGUGCGAAAGGAAAGCGACUCCAAGCCGCUGCAGAGGCAAACACCAGGCUGUGGAAUUAAAGGGGCAGAGCACGAAGGCAUUGUCAAACCGGUCUGGAAUCAAAGCAGGAAGAGCAGCGAUAAUCUGCUUCAAGAGUGCAGGCAACACCAGGAGCCCAAGGAGCGGAGCGAAGAGAUGUUGUCAGGAUUUAACUGUGAUGGCGAAAACCCUGGAGUCAUGGCAAACAAACUGCUAGAUGUUCCCCAUGAUGAACAGUGGCUUCUGAUAUUUACAAAUUCUGUGUCUUCAGAGAAUGGAAGAAAAAACUUUCACUGCUGAUCAAGGGCUCCAGUGACAACCAUGCCUGAUGCCCAAAAUAUUUUAAAUAGUUGAUAGAUGUGGAGCAAUACUACUACUAAAGGUAUAUAUACAUAUACAGGUUAAGCAUUCCUCAUCCAUAAAUACAAAAUGCCCUAAAACCCAAAAUAGUUCACAUGGAUGAUUGGAUAUGUGACACAUUUGCUUUCUGAUGGUUUGCUGUGCAUACACUUUUCCAGGUACAAAAUUAUUUAAAAUAUUGUAUUAAAUUACCUUCAAGCUAUGUGUACAAGAUGUAUAUGAAACAUAACAUGAAUUUUAUGUUUAGACUUGGGUCCCAUUUCUAAGAUAUCUCCUUAAAAAUAAGCAAGUAUGAAAAAAAAAUCUGGAAUACAGAACACUUCUGAUCCCUAUGUAUAAGGGAUGCUCAACCCAUAUACAAAAUACUCUUUUAAAUGUA